rnacentral:rRNA from 1 species
AACGAACGCUGGCGGCAGGCUUAACACAUGCAAGUCGAACGCACCUUUCGGGGUGAGUGGCAGACGCGUGAGUAACGCGUGGGAAUCUACCCUUCUCUACGGGAUAGCUCCGGGACACUGGAAUUAAUACCGUAUACGUUCCGAGGGAGAAAGAUAUAACGGGGUAGGUGGAGCACGAGAUGUAUUAGCCGGGUGGGGGGGUAAAGGCCUAUCACGGCGUCGAUCGAUAGCGGGGUAAAGAGAAUGAGCAGCCACGUUGGGACUGGGACGCGGCCCAAACUCCUGCGGGAGGCGGGAGUGGGGAAUAUUGGACUAUGGGCGCAAGCCUGAUCCAGCCAUGCUGGGUGAGUGAUGAAGGUGGUAGGGUUGUAAAGCUCGUUAAGUGGGGACGAUAAUGACGGUACCCACAGAAGAAGCCCCGGCUAACUUCGUG